CUCCAGCUAGAUUACCAUUUGAGUUAUUUAACUUGAAGAUUUCAAUUCCAUUCAAGAGAACAGUUGCCCAUCUAGUUUUCCACUCAUCUGCACUUGCUUGGAGCUUAACAGAGAGCUUCACUUUCUUUUUGGUAGUGCCUGCAGAAGGUACCAAAACUAUGUAAUCUUUGAGAUAUGGAAUUCCUUUCCCAUUAGCCAAACGAAACACAUCCAUAUUCUUCUCAGCGAUCUUGUCUUUGAUGUAUAUUAAGAACAUUCUUUCAUUUAUGUCACUGAUUUCAGGGUCAAUCUCGCAAAAAUGAAGACGAAGCAUGUAAUAGAACCCAGGAUCUACAAGGUAUUCCCAUGUGAGAUUGUAGCUCUUGUUAUCUGUUUCAUUGGAUCCCAUUGUCCGAGCAGUUCGAUACACGAGUUCUGGUGCGGUGUACGUU
rnacentral:lncRNA from 1 species